GAUGAACGCUGGCGGCGUGCCUAAUACAUGCAAGUCGAGCGAACAGACGAGGAGCUUGCUCCUCUGACGUUAGCGGCGGACGGGUGAGUAACACGUGUAUAACCUACCUGUAAGACUGGGAUAACUUCGGGAAACCGGAGAUAAUACCGGAGAAUCUAUUGAACCGCGUGGUUCAAUAGUGAAAGACGGUUUUGCUGUCACUUAUCGAUGGAUCCGCGCCGCAUUAGCUAGUUGGUACGUUAACGGCUUACCAAGGCAACGAUGCGUAGGCGACCGGUGAGGGGGAUCGGCCACACGGGAGCGGAGACACGGUCCAGGGUACUACGGGAGGCAGCAGAAGGGAAUGUUCCGCAACGGGCGAAAGCCUUACGGAGCAACGGCGCGUGAGUGAUGAAGGUGCUCGGAGCGGAAAACUGUGUUAUUAGGGAAGAACAAAUGUGUAAGGAGCUAUGCACGGCUUGACGGUACCUAAUCAGAAAGCCACGGCUAACUACGUG
rnacentral:rRNA from 1 species